UGUUUGUUUGGAGUUAUAAAGAAUUUAACCUGCCCCCUGAUUAACUAUUAAAUUAAAGGGCCGCAGUAUUAUAACUGUGCAAAGGUAGCAUAAUCAUUAGGUUUUUAAUUGAAAUCUCGUAUGAAUGGUUGGACAAAAGAAAGACUCUCUUUAUAUUAAGUUUUGAAUUUAACUUUUAAGUGAAAAGGCUUAAAUAUUCUAAAGGGACGAUAAGACCCUAUAAAACUUUACAUUGUUAUUAAUUUUGAUUGAAUUUAUGAAAUAAAAAUUUUAUUUGAUUAUUUGUUAUGUUGGGGAGACAUAAGUAAAAUAUUUUUUUAACUGCUUGAUAGUUAUACAAUUAUUAGUGAAUAAGUAGAAGAUCCUUUUUAAGAUUAGUAGAUUAAGUUACUUUAGGGAUAACAGUGUAAUUUCUUUUGAGAGUUCUUAUCGAAAAAGAAGGUUGCAACCUCGAUGUUGAAUUAAAAUAUCUAUAUAAUGGAGAGGUUAUAUAAGAAGGUCUGUUCGACCUUGAAAAUUUUACAUGAUUUGAGUUCAAACCGGUGUGAGCCA
rnacentral:rRNA from 1 species